GACGAACGCUGGCGGCGUGCUUAACACAUGCAAGUCGAACGGAAAGGCCUGCUUUCCCUUGUGGAUUGCGGGUACUCGAGUGGCGAACGGGUGAGUAACACGUGAGUGAUCUGCCCCCAACUUGGGUAUAAGCCUGGGAAACUGGGUCUAAUUCCCGAUAGGACUGCAGGGUGGUGCCUGUGGUGGAAAACGAUUUUCUAGUGGUUGGGGAUGAGCUCGCGGCCUAUCAGCUUGUUGGUGGGGUAAUGUCCUACCAAGGCGGCGACGGGUAGCCGGCCUGAGAGGGUGGACGGCCGCAUUGGGACGGAGAUACGGCCCAGACUACUACGGGAGGCAGCAGUGGGGAAUAUUGCACAAUGGGCGGAAGCCUGAUGCAGCGACGCCGCGUGGGGGAUGACGGCCUUCGGGUUGUAAACUCCUUUCGACCGCGAGGAAGCCACCUGGUUGGAAGGGUGGUGACGGUAGUGGUAGAAGAAGCACCGGCUAACUACGUG
rnacentral:rRNA from 1 species